GCUCACUGGACAAAGUGUUUCACAUGAAUUAUCUUCUCAUUCUCUUACCAACUUGAAGAGGCAGGCGCCCCUAUUAUCCCUUUUUUAUUCUAUGAAGAAACUGCAGCUGAGAGAGGUUAUGUAACUUACCUAAUUCAUACUAGAAACUCCAGACUUAAAUUUUAUGAUUACUCUCAGCAGGCUUUUUACAUAUAUCUAGAGAUCAAUUUUAGUUAUUGAAAAAGAUAAAAUAAAGCAAAAAAGAUGUCUCGACCUAAAGGAGCUGCUUUUAGCCUGGCAGGGACCAGAAAGUGAGCAUUAGGAUCCAGAGCAGUGUCGUCAGUGCUUGUGAGGAGGGGUCAGGGGCUUACAUGGGAGGAACUGGGCUCCUGCAAGGUCCUCAGCAGCACUCCCUCAGCCAGGGCCCGGUCCACAGCCUGCCGUGCCAGCUCCUCCAGCUGCUGCUCAUCCUGCAAGAGGCUCCCCCAGCCGGUGGCCAUCCCAACCUGCAACAGGAGAGGGGAAUGAUUGGUGAUGGGUUGCCUGGGGCCCACCCAGCAACCAAUGAAACUGGCAGUGUGGUACAGGGGAGUGAACACUGGGUGGCAGCUCUCAACUUCCAUGAGUGCAAAAUGGAAAGCCUGACAAAGCAUUUCCACUGCCACUCUCUUGGUUCCUAAUACAAUGAUGGCAUUAUUCUUACAGUAAGGAAGUGGAAUCUCAGACUGGUAAAACCUGGAUUUGAACCCAGGUCUCAGGACUCCCAGCCCAGGCCUUUUACACUGGAGAAAGAGGCACUAAUGUCAUAUGUGAUUGGGGCAAGUUCCUUCCCCUCAGAGUUGCAGAUUCUCUACCUGUGAAACAAGGGGUAUGAGGUAGACCAGUGGUUUCCAAAUCUGGCUAAAUAUUCUGGGGAGCCUGGUAAAGAAUACGGAUUCCAGGGCUCCACUCAGAGAUUCUCAUGCAAGAGGUCUGAUGAGUGGAGGGAAGGGCUGAAGCUCUGUAUUUUU